rnacentral:misc_RNA from 1 species
UUGUGGAGGAGGACGCCGAAGGUGGGGCUAAUGACUGGGGUGAAGUCGUAACAAGGUAGCCGUACCGGAAGGUGCGGCUGGAUCACCUCCUAACAGGGAGACAACAAAAUGUUAAAUAUUAAUUUUGUCACCUUAGGUCGAUCGGUAUCUCACAUUUUUAAUUUAUUAAGAAUUUUAUUUCCUAAGUUUUUUCUAGGUCACACCCAUUAUUUUCCUGGGCCAUUAGCUCAGGUGGUUAGAGCGCACCCCUGAUAAGGGUGAGGUCCCUGGUUCAAGUCCAGGAUGGCCCAUAUCUCUAUGUUGGGGGUAUAGCUCAGUUGGUAGAGCGCCUGCUUUGCAAGCAGGAUGUCAGCGGUUCGAGUCCGCUUACCUCCACUGAUUACCACCUCUUCCAUAAAUUUUAUAGAAGGGAAAUUUUUAAGGUGUGAUCAAAUUCUGAACGAAUCUAGCUUCCUAAUUCUCUAUUAAGAUGCUGGACUCAUUGAAUUAAUUUCAUUGUUUUCAGAGAACCUUGACAACUGCAUAGAUUAUUUAAAAGACAAUAAGCAUCUUUAAUGAUGCAGAUUUAUUAUUUGUGCGAAUGCAUUAAUAACAAUUCUAUUAAGCUGAUGCUUCAAUUAUUGAAGUUAUUGGUCAAGCUACAA